GGGGUUGUGGCUCAGUGGUAGAGCCCUUGCCUAGUAUGCACGAGGCACUGGGUUCGAUCCCUGGUACCACA
rfam:Ictidomys tridecemlineatus contig092401, whole genome shotgun sequence.